AUGGAAGCUUGCUUCUAUCAAUCUUAGUGGCGAACGGGUGAGUAACGCGUAAUCAACCUGCCCUUCAGAGGGGGACAACAGUUGGAAACGACUGCUAAUACCGCAUACGAUCCAACCUCGGCAUCGAGGAUGGAUGAAAGGUGGCCUCUAUUUAUAAGCUAUCACUGAAGGAGGGGAUUGCGUCUGAUUAGCUAGUUGGAGGGGUAACGGCCCACCAAGGCAAUGAUCAGUAGCCGGUCUGAGAGGAUGAACGGCCACAUUGGGACUGAGACACGGCCCAGACUCCUACGGGAGGCAGCAGUGGGGAAUCUUCCGCAAUGGACGAAAGUCUGACGGAGCAACGCCGCGUGAGUGAUGACGGCCUUCGGGUUGUAAAGCUCUGUUAAUCGGGACGAAAGGUCCUCUUGCGAAUAGUUAGAGGAAUUGACGGUACCGGAAUAGAAAGCCACGGCUAACUACGUGCCAGCAGCCGCGGUAAUACGUAGGUGGCAAGCGUUGUCCGGAAUUAUUGGGCGUAAAGCGCGCGCAGGCGGAUCAGUCAGUCUGUCUUAAAAGUUCGGGGCUUAACCCCGUGAUGGGAUGGAAACUGCUGAUCUAGAGUAUCGGAGAGGAAAGUGGAAUUCCUAGUGUAGCGGUGAAAUGCGUAGAUAUUAGGAAGAACACCAGUGGCGAAGGCGACUUUCUGGACGAAAACUGACGCUGAGGCGCGAAAGCCAGGGGAGCGAACGGGAUUAGAUACCCCGGUAGUCCUGGGCCGUAACGAUGGGUACUAGGUGUAGGAGGUAUCGACCCCUUCUGUGCCGG
rnacentral:rRNA from 1 species